CGGGGAGAGGGUGGCUAGCUGUGGCGGCGGCCAAUUACGUGGCGGACCUGCGGGGCUAAGCUGGCACGUCACUUCCGACUAGUGGAGUUUUUAGCCUUUUAACAUUCAAGGAUUAGGUAAAAGUCUUGCAGUGAAAAACCCGAGGACCCUUACCGCAAGUGUCCUUUGCUCCCAGCUACUGAUACUGGAUUCCACUUGUGAUUCUCCCUUUCUUAGCGCAUUCAUGAUAUAGACAUCAGUCUCUGAGCUGGAGGAGGACAAAGGCAGCAGUCCUGUGAAUUCUAUGCUCUAGCUUGGGUUAAGGGAUUUGGAAUUGCACUUGUUCCAGAGAGCUCCCUCUUUGCCCACUAGCAGGGCAUUAGCUGGUGCUGAAGACAGUGGCUGCUUGGCGAGCCUGGAUCUCCAAGUGACUCCAAGUGACCCCCUCAGCAACUCCUGAUGAACAGGACUGAAGCCAAUAUUAAAGCAAGUCAACCAAAGAUUCUCUGGUGUAGACAAGACAGCAAAAGGACAGACUACCUUGUGGAACCUAGCAUUGUUCUCCUUCUGCAGCACUAAGUAACAUUUGUGCUCCGUUAAGAUCUUUGCAAACCACACACAAGAAUUGCUGGUCAUCCUGCCAAUAGAUGCUGCUCACAGAACCAAAUUUCCUGUGCUGAAUUGUCACUCAUGGGCUUGAGAGUAGGAGACUGGAGACCAAGGUGGCUAGAAUCCAGUUGGGCCUGAUGUCUCCCUGUUGAAAGGGCUCCUUGUGGAAUAAACAGCACAUGGCUCCCGUGGUGGAUCUGAUAGUGGCACAGCACCAAGUGAUGCAGGCCUGCCAGGGGCCACAGACACAGAAGAUGCUCUCAGGGUCCCCCGUGUACUCCAGACACACUGCAGGCCACCUCUCCCAGCAGGUUGCCAGUCAUGGGCCCCAUCAUCAUGACUUCUGUCCAAGGUACUGUGUGCAGAAAUGUGAUUGAGAUUCAAGUCAGGGCCUCUCUGCCCUUUUCCCUCCAGAAACAAAACCAAGAUAAUUUAUCCUGAACACGGUGAAAAAAGGAAGGGAGGGAGGAGAAAAAGUCCGGGUCUCACCUGGGAUUCUCUGUCUCCUGCAACAUGAAGGAUUUAGCUUGGGAGGAGGUGGUGAGAACUCUGGGAGAGAAAAAAGAAGGAAAGAAUAGUUUUACCCAUGCUGAAGUUAAUUUAAACCUUCACCUAGAUAAGCAAAAAAACCCCCACACUUUUCCAUUUUGUGCCUCCCUUCCUAGAGUUUUAGCCAAAGGUUUAGCUAAGUAAUUGGUUUUACCAGGGCACUCACUCUUCCUAUCCCGAGUCUGUUUGACUCCCUCCCCAUCAUCCUCCUCACCUCUUUUCAGGCAGGGUGGGGAUAGCAGCAGGAGGAGAUUUUGGGAGCCUGGCAACUCCUGCAAGGACCGCAGGACAGCCCCUCUGUGGGGAUGCGUGGUGCCCCAUCUGCCGCCCUUCUGAAGAAUGCACUGCCUUCACUUUUUACUGUGUUAGAGUCCAUCCAGACUGUUCUAUCCAAAAAAGAGUUUCUUUUUCCCCCACAGGCAAUCAGGAAAUGAUUCCUUUCCCAACUGCUUCUGUCUAGUGCCUGGGAAUCUUGAGUCAAUCCCUCAGUAAGUCAGUGACUAUAGAAAUCCCUCUCUGAGCCUCCCAGUUCAUGUUGCUUAGGGAACCUGAUAUUUUCAUGAAACCUGCCUACACAUGGGCAGCCCAACAGCAGAACAAAUGGUGGUGACCAAAGUGAACAAAGAAGUAUAGUUGUGCCAGCUUCGUAGUUGCCCAUGUGGACAAGUUAGCAGGAUCAGGACACGAGGAAGAGUAAAUGUGAGACAGUCAAUGUGACUUCUGCGAUAAACAGAUUUUUAAACCCCGAAAUUUUGCAAAAUUUUGGUGAAACCUGAACUUCCUUCGUUGCAUAUACUGGCACUAUCUGUACCAUCAUACAACUGUCUCACAUUAAAGCUAUUUUUCUUGGGCACUGAUGAGCAAGGUUGGUAUGUUUGAGUUCCUCAGAUCAACAAAAACCCAUUUUCCUAUAAGUCUUACAUUUAGUAUUUAAGGAACUAAAACUUAAAUACAUUUUGUGAAAUGGUUGACACUUCACUGAUAAUGAUUUAUUGCUUGGAUUAAUAAAUUUUCCAAAAGUUGUCUUAUUAUGUAGAAUAUGGUUUGCAACCAGCAGAACCAUUAAUCUAUACUGCAAUGAUAUGCACUAUGUAUAAUUGUUUAAAAGCCUCUACUUAAUGAUGUAAAAUGCUCUAUUUAAUUACACAUUUGGGUAAACUGUAUACUAACAUCUGAUGGCAUUUUCCCACUGUUUGUUGCUUUUUUCAAAUACUUUAUUGUACAAAGCUGUUCUUAAUAUUGUUCAAGUUUUUUUUCUUUGAAUUUUGCUAAUGUUUUCCUUGAAUUAUGAGCACUGACAGAAUGUGCUUAGCACUUUUGGCUAUUCACACAGCUUUUGAGCAUGAUUUGCAUCCAAUAUUUACAUUGCUAGCAAUAAUAAGCCAUCUGUGAGUUUUGUCAAAAGUUAUUGGGGAUUUUUUAAAUUUUAGAAGUGCAAAUUAUUGUUUCUUAACUCUUAUGCAGUUGCAAAGGCAUUUCCAGUUGUUAUAGUUUAUGUAUAAUAUCAGGUGUUCCAGAUUAUGAUUCAUUAUUAAUAUCAUUGCUUCCUUGUUCCCUGAGGUCCAGAAGAUUCAUGUUUACAAUAUUUAGAAACAAUGUUAAAAAGGUAUCCAAA